rnacentral:rRNA from 1 species
CCUACGGGGGGCAGCAGUGGGGAAUAUUGGACAAUGGGGGGAACCCUGAUCCAGCCAUGCCGCGUGUGUGAAGAAGGCCCUCGGGUUGUAAAGCACUUUCAGUGAGGAAGAACGCCUGGUGGUUAAUACCCAUCAGGAAAGACAUCACUCACAGAAGAAGCACCGGCUAACUCCGUGCCAGCAGCCGCGGUAAUACGGAGGGUGCGAGCGUUAAUCGGAAUUACUGGGCGUAAAGCGCGCGUAGGUGGCUUGAUAAGCCGGUUGUGAAAGCCCCGGGCUCAACCUGGGAACGGCAUCCGGAACUGUCAAGCUAGAGUGCAGGAGAGGAAGGUAGAAUUCCCGGUGUAGCGGUGAAAUGCGUAGAGAUCGGGAGGAAUACCAGUGGCGAAGGCGGCCUUCUGGACUGACACUGACACUGAGGUGCGAAAGCGUGGGUAGCAAACAGGAUUAGAUACCCUUGUAGUC